CACGUAGGCACCAAGCGUUGUCCGGAUUUAUUGGGCGUAAAGAGCUCGUAGGCGGUUCAGUAAGUCGGGUGUGAAAACUUUGGGCUUAACCCAAAGCGUGCAUCCGAUACUGCUGUGACUUGAGUACGGUAGGGGAGCGGGGGAAUUCCUAGUGUAGCGGUGAAAUGCGCAGAUAUCAGGAGGAACACCGGUGGUGUAGACGCUUUCUGGACCGUAACUGACGCUGAGACACGAAAGCGUGGGUAGCAAACAGG
rnacentral:rRNA from 1 species